UACGUAGGGGGCAAGCGUUGUCCGGAAUUAUUGGGCGUAAAGAGCGCGUAGGCGGUCCGGUAAGUCGGUUGUGAAAGUCGGGGGCUCAACCCUCGGAUGCCGAUCGAUACUGUCGGGCUAGAGUCCGGAAGAGGCGAGUGGAAUUCCUGGUGUAGCGGUGAAAUGCGCAGAUAUCAGGAAGAACACCAAUGGCGAAGGCAGCUCGCUGGGACGGUACUGACGCUGAGGCGCGAAAGCGUGGGGAGCAAACAGG
rnacentral:rRNA from 1 species